rnacentral:rRNA from 1 species
GACGAACGCUGGCGGCGUGCUUAACACAUGCAAGUCGAACGGAAAGGCCCUGCUUGCAGGGUACUCGAGUGGCGAACGGGUGAGUAACACGUGGGUGAUCUGCCCUGCACUUCGGGAUAAGCCUGGGAAACUGGGUCUAAUACCGGAUAGGAGCCAUUUUUAGUGUGAUGGUUGGAAAGUUUUUUUCGGUGUAGGAUGAGCUCGCGGCCUAUCAGCUUGUUGGUGGGGUAAUGGCCUACCAAGGCGGCGACGGGUAGCCGGCCUGAGAGGGUGGACGGCCACAUUGGGACUGAGAUACGGCCCAGACUCCUACGGGAGGCAGCAGUGGGGAAUAUUGCACAAUGGGCGCAAGCCUGAUGCAGCGACGCCGCGUGGGGGAUGACGGCCUUCGGGUUGUAAACUCCUUUCGCUAGGGACGAAGCUUUUUGUGACGGUACCUAGAUAAGAAGCACGGGCUAACUACGUG